CCCCAAAAUCAACCCAAAAAUCCCCCCAGGAAACCCAAAAUUUGGCCCCAAAAUCAGCCCUAAAUUUGGCCCCAAAAUCGGCUCCACAAUCCCAAGAUUUGAACCCAAAAUCCCUAGAUUUGGCCCCAAAUUCGGCCCCAAAACCCCAAAAUUUGGCCCCAAAAUGCCCAAAUUCGGCCCCAAAAUCUGCCUCAAAAUCCUCGGAUUUUGCCCCAAAAUCCCCAGAUUCGGCCCCAAAAUCCCUGGAUUUUGCCCCAGACCUGGCCCUGGGGCGGCUCCAGCGGCGCCUGUGGAGAGAGAGCGGCCGAGUGCUGUGGCUGCAGCAGUGCCUGCGGUUCCUGAGCGCGGCCAGCAGGGGGCGCCUGGCGGCACUGCGCCCCCUGCAGGAGCAGGUGGUUGGCGUGGCCCAGGUGGGGCCGGGCUCUGCCCCUCCCCCGCUGAAGGGGGCGUGGCUCCGUCAUCGGCAGCUGUUACUGGGAGCACUGGGAGCACCCCUCCCCCCUCUGUAGGGGGGUGAGCCGGGAGCUGGGGGCGGCACAGGGGGUGCUGCUGUCCUGGGCGGCCAUCUUGCGGCAGCAGCUCCGCCAGGGGGCGCUGCGCCUACACCGGAGGGCGGGGCUGGCCCCGCCCCUCCCCGAGGGCAUGGCUGAGGUGCUGCCCCAGCUGCUAUUGGUCAGCGCCAGCUGCCAGCAGCAAAUCAGGGACUGGCCCCACCUCCAGGAGCUCGUCAGCCAAUGGUGGGUCCAGUCGGCUCAGUGGGCCCUGGCCACACCCCCUUCUUCCAUUGGCUGCAGCGCUGGAGCAGCGCCGCCCACGUCCUGCAGGCCACUCCCACCCCUGAGGAGGCCCUGCCCACCGCAGGGCAGGAGGAGGAGCCAGGAGAAGAGGGUCCGCCCCCCUGAGGCACACCAGAAGAUCUGAUUGGUCGGGAAUAAAAAGGGGCAGGGAAAGGGGCG